CAAAUUAAAGCUUUAUAGAUAAGUCUCUCACUUACAUUGGGAUAGAUUCGUGCGAAUCGAAUAAUUUGA
rnacentral:tRNA from 1 species